rnacentral:rRNA from 1 species
UACGUAGGGCGCAAGCGUUAUCCGGAAUUAUUGGGCGUAAAGAGCUCGUAGGCGGUUUGUCGCGUCUGCCGUGAAAGUCCGGGCUCAACUCCGGAUCUGCGGUGGGUACGGGCAGACUAGAGUGAUGUAGGGAGACUGGAAUUCCUGGUGUAGCGGUGAAAUGCGCAGAUAUCAGGAGGAACACCGAUGGCGAAGGCAAUCCCUGGGCCUGCACUCGACGCUCAUGCACGAAAGCGUGGGAGCAAACAGG